UGUGUUCAAGUGUGUUCGUGUGUGUUCAGGUGUGUUUGUGUGUGUUCAGCUGUGUUCAGAUGUGUUCAGGUGUGUUCAUAUGUGUUCAGGUGUGUUCAGCUGUGUUCAGGUGUGUUCAGGUGUGUUUGUGUGUGUUCAGCUGUGUUCAUAUGUGUUCAGCUGUGUUUAGGUCUGUUCAGAUGUGUUCAAGUGUGUUCAUGUGUGUUCAGGUGUGUUUGUGUGUGUUCAGCUGUGUUCAGAUGUGUUCAGCUGUGUUCAUAUGUGUUCAGAUGUGUUCAGCUGUGUUCAGAUGUGUUCAGGUGUGUUCAGCUGUGUUCAGAUGUGUUCAGCUGUGUUCAGGUGUGUUCAAGUGUGUUCAAGUGUGUUCAGGUGUGUUUGUGUGUGUUCAGCUGUGUUCAGAUGUGUUCAGCUGUGUUCAUAUGUGUUCAGAUGUGUUCAGGUGUGUUCAAGUGUGUUCAAGUGUGUUCGUGUGUGUUCAGAUGUGUUCUGCUGUCUUCAAGUGUGUUCAGGAGUGUUCAGAUGUGUUCAGAUGUUUUCAAGUGUGUUCAAGUGUGUUCAGGUGUGUUCAGCUGUCUUCAAGUGUGUUCGUGUGUGUUCAUAUGUGUUCAGCUGUGUUCAAGUGUGUUCAAGUGUGUUCAGGAGUGUUCAGAUGUGUUCAGAUGUGUUCAAGUGUGUUCGUGUGUGUUCAGGUGUGUUCAGGUGUGUUCAGCUGUCUACAAGUGUG